UUAAGCGACUAAGCGUACACGGUGGAUGCCCUGGCAGUCAGAGGCGAUGAAGGACGUGCUAAUCUGCGAUAAGCGUCGGUAAGGUGAUAUGAACCGUUAUAACCGGCGAUUUCCGAAUGGGGAAACCCAGUGUGUUUCGACACACUAUCAUUAACUGAAUCCAUAGGUUAAUGAGGCGAACCGGGGGAACUGAAACAUCUAAGUACCCCGAGGAAAAGAAAUCAACCGAGAUUCCCCCAGUAGCGGCGAGCGAACGGGGAGCAGCCCAGAGCCUGAAUCAGUGUGUGUGUUAGUGGAAGCGUCUGGAAAGGCGCGCGAUACAGGGUGACAGCCCCGUACACAAAAAUGCACAUGCUGUGAGCUCGAUGAGUAGGGCGGGACACGUGGUAUCCUGUCUGAAUAUGGGGGGACCAUCCUCCAAGGCUAAAUACUCCUGACUGACCGAUAGUGAACCAGUACCGUGAGGGAAAGGCGAAAAGAACCCCGGCGAGGGGAGUGAAAAAGAACCUGAAACCGUGUACGUACAAGCAGUGGGAGCACGCUUAGGCGUGUGACUGCGUACCUUUUGUAUAAUGGGUCAGCGACUUAUAUUCUGUAGCAAGGUUAACCGAAUAGGGGAGCCGAAGGGAAACCGAGUCUUAACUGGGCGUUAAGUUGCAGGGUAUAGACCCGAAACCCGGUGAUCUAGCCAUGGGCAGGUUGAAGGUUGGGUAACACUAACUGGAGGACCGAACCGACUAAUGUUGAAAAAUUAGCGGAUGACUUGUGGCUGGGGGUGAAAGGCCAAUCAAACCGGGAGAUAGCUGGUUCUCCCCGAAAGCUAUUUAGGUAGCGCCUCGUGAAUUCAUCUCCGGGGGUAGAGCACUGUUUCGGCAAGGGGGUCAUCCCGACUUACCAACCCGAUGCAAACUGCGAAUACCGGAGAAUGUUAUCACGGGAGACACACGGCGGGUGCUAACGUCCGUCGUGAAGAGGGAAACAACCCAGACCGCCAGCUAAGGUCCCAAAGUCAUGGUUAAGUGGGAAACGAUGUGGGAAGGCCCAGACAGCCAGGAUGUUGGCUUAGAAGCAGCCAUCAUUUAAAGAAAGCGUAAUAGCUCACUGGUCGAGUCGGCCUGCGCGGAAGAUGUAACGGGGCUAAACCAUGCACCGAAGCUGCGGCAGCGACGCUGAUGCGUUGUUGGGUAGGGGAGCGUUCUGUAAGCCUGCGAAGGUGUGCUGUGAGGCAUGCUGGAGGUAUCAGAAGUGCGAAUGCUGACAUAAGUAACGAUAAAGCGGGUGAAAAGCCCGCUCGCCGGAAGACCAAGGGUUCCUGUCCAACGUUAAUCGGGGCAGGGUGAGUCGACCCCUAAGGCGAGGCCGAAAGGCGUAGUCGAUGGGAAACAGGUUAAUAUUCCUGUACUUGGUGUUACUGCGAAGGGGGGACGGAGAAGGCUAUGUUGGCCGGGCGACGGUUGUCCCGGUUUAAGCGUGUAGGCUGGUUUUCCAGGCAAAUCCGGAAAAUCAAGGCUGAGGCGUGAUGACGAGGCACUACGGUGCUGAAGCAACAAAUGCCCUGCUUCCAGGAAAAGCCUCUAAGCAUCAGGUAACAUCAAAUCGUACCCCAAACCGACACAGGUGGUCAGGUAGAGAAUACCAAGGCGCUUGAGAGAACUCGGGUGAAGGAACUAGGCAAAAUGGUGCCGUAACUUCGGGAGAAGGCACGCUGAUAUGUAGGUGAAGUCCCUCGCGGAUGGAGCUGAAAUCAGUCGAAGAUACCAGCUGGCUGCAACUGUUUAUUAAAAACACAGCACUGUGCAAACACGAAAGUGGACGUAUACGGUGUGACGCCUGCCCGGUGCCGGAAGGUUAAUUGAUGGGGUCAGCGCAAGCGAAGCUCUUGAUCGAAGCCCCGGUAAACGGCGGCCGUAACUAUAACGGUCCUAAGGUAGCGAAAUUCCUUGUCGGGUAAGUUCCGACCUGCACGAAUGGCGUAAUGAUGGCCAGGCUGUCUCCACCCGAGACUCAGUGAAAUUGAACUCGCUGUGAAGAUGCAGUGUACCCGCGGCAAGACGGAAAGACCCCGUGAACCUUUACUAUAGCUUGACACUGAACAUUGAGCCUUGAUGUGUAGGAUAGGUGGGAGGCUUUGAAGUGUGGACGCCAGUCUGCAUGGAGCCGGCCUUGAAAUACCACCCUUUAAUGUUUGAUGUUCUAACGUGGACCCGUAAUCCGGGUUGCGGACAGUGUCUGGUGGGUAGUUUGACUGGGGCGGUCUCCUCCUAAAGAGUAACGGAGGAGCACGAAGGUUGGCUAAUCCUGGUCGGACAUCAGGAGGUUAGUGCAAUGGCAUAAGCCAGCUUGACUGCGAGCGUGACGGCGCGAGCAGGUGCGAAAGCAGGUCAUAGUGAUCCGGUGGUUCUGAAUGGAAGGGCCAUCGCUCAACGGAUAAAAGGUACUCCGGGGAUAACAGGCUGAUACCGCCCAAGAGUUCAUAUCGACGGCGGUGUUUGGCACCUCGAUGUCGGCUCAUCACAUCCUGGGGCUGAAGUAGGUCCCAAGGGUAUGGCUGUUCGCCAUUUAAAGUGGUACGCGAGCUGGGUUUAGAACGUCGUGAGACAGUUCGGUCCCUAUCUGCCGUGGGCGCUGGAGAACUGAGGGGGGCUGCUCCUAGUACGAGAGGACCGGAGUGGACGCAUCACUGGUGUUCGGGUUGUCAUGCCAAUGGCACUGCCCGGUAGCUAAAUGCGGAAGAGAUAAGUGCUGAAAGCAUCUAAGCACGAAACUUGCCCCGAGAUGAGUUCUCCCUGACUCCUUGAGAGUCCUGAAGGAACGUUGAAGACGACGACGUUGAUAGGCCGGGUGUGUAAGCGCAGCGAUGCGUUGAGCUAACCGGUACUAAUGAACCGUGAGGCUUAACCUU
rnacentral:rRNA from 1 species